rnacentral:rRNA from 1 species
UACGUAGGGGGCAAGCGUUGUCCGGAUUUAUUGGGCGUAAAGAGCGUGUAGGCGGCCAUGUAGGUCUGCUGUGAAAACUCGAGGCUUAACCUCGAGCUGUCGGCGGAAACCAUCUGGCUAGAGUCCGGAAGAGGAGAAUGGAAUUCCCGGUGUAGCGGUGAAAUGCGCAGAUAUCGGGAAGAACACCCGUGGCGAAGGCGGUUCUCUGGGACGGUACUGACGCUGAGACGCGAAAGCGUGGGGAGCGAACAGG